GACGAACGCUGGCGGCGUGCUUAACACAUGCAAGUCGAACGGAAAGGCCCUGCUUUUGUGGGGUGCUCGAGUGGCGAACGGGUGAGUAACACGUGAGUAACCUGCCCUUGACUUUGGGAUAACUUCAGGAAACUGGGGCUAAUACCGGAUAGGAGCUCCUGCUGCAUGGUGGGGGUUGGAAAGUUUCGGCGGUUGGGGAUGGACUCGCGGCUUAUCAGCUUGUUGGUGGGGGAGUGGCUUACCAAGGCUUUGACGGGUAGCCGGCCUGAGAGGGUGACCGGCCACAUUGGGACUGAGAUACGGCCCAGACUCGUACGGGGGGCAGCAGUGGGGAAUAUUGCACAAUGGGCGGAAGCCUGAUGCAGCAACGCCGCGUGCGGGAUGACGGCCUUCGGGUUGUAAACCGAUUUCGCCUGUGACGAAGCGUGAGUGACGGUAAUGGGUAAAGAAGCACCGGCUAACUACGUG
rnacentral:rRNA from 1 species